rnacentral:rRNA from 1 species
UCUUCAGUAAUUGCGCAUGAACCAGGAUAUGCUUAGCUUGACAAAUGGAGCUGCUGGCUCUGAAUUGUAUUGUGGGAAUGUAUUACCAACAGAGGUGCAGGUCACACUCCUUGGCAUUGGAAUGCAAAGUGGGUGGUAAGUUUCAUGCAAAGGUAAAUAUGCAAUUGAGACUGAUAGCGCACAAGUACCAUGAGGGACAUAUGAAAAGGACUUUGAAAAGAGAAUUAAAUGAGUUUGUAUUUGCUAAACACAAAGUAAACAGACUUGAUUUCCUCAGUGAGAUUGUAGUGCUUGCUUAACAAUGGGUUUUGGCUGCAAGUGCAAUAAUUCUUGCUUUGUGUGCCAGUUUUUAUGUGGACAUUUGAUUACCUUUGCACAUGAAUGGUAAUUUUCCUGCGGGGUGUGGAUUGCAUAUGCAUGUAAUGAUUUGCAUGUUUGUUAAAUGUGUCUGGUGUAUUUGUUUGUGUCCUUGUCCUUGAGGUUGCUUUCUCCCUUGGGCUUACAUGCCCUGGCACACACAUUCUGGCAAAAUGCUUCUGCUUGACCCGUCUUGAAAAU